rnacentral:rRNA from 1 species
GGUGCUUGCACCGGUGGACAGUGGCGAACGGGUGAGUAACACGUGAGAAACCUGCCCCGGAGACCGGGACAACCAUUGGAAACGAUGGCUAAUACCGGAUGCCCUCAGAUGGUCGCAUGACCGACUGAGGAAAUGCUCCGGCGCUCCGGGAGGGUCUCGCGGCCUAUCAGCUAGUUGGUGGGGUAACGGCCUACCAAGGCAUCGACGGGUAGCUGGUCUGAGAGGACGAUCAGCCACACUGGGACUGAGACACGGCCCAGACAUCUACGGAUGGCAGCAGUGGGGAAUAUUGCGCAAUGGGCGAAAGCCUGACGCAGCAACGCCGCGUGAGGGAUGACAGCUUUCGGGUUGUAAACCUCUUUCAGUGACGACGAAAAUGACGGUAGUCACAGAAGAAGGUCCGGCCAACUACGUGCCAGCAGCCGCGGUAACACGUAGGGACCAAGCGUUGUCCGGAUUUAUUGGGCGUAAAGAGCUCGUAGGCCGUUUCGUAAGUCGGAUGUGAAAACUCAGGGCUCAACCCGGAGACGCCAUCCGAUACUGCGAUGACUAGAGUCCGGUAGGGGAGCAUGGAAUUCCUGGUGUAGCGGUGGAAUGCGCAGAUAUCAGGAGGAACACCAGUGGCGAAGGCGGUGCUCUGGGCCGGAACUGACGCUGAGGAGCGAAAGUAUGGGGAGCAAACAGGAUUAGAUACC